rnacentral:rRNA from 1 species
GACGAACGCUGGCGGCGUGCUUAACACAUGCAAGUCGAACGGUGAAGCGCCUUCCUUUUUGGUGGGUGUGGAUGAGUGGCGAACGGGUGAGUAACACGUGAGUAACCUGCCCCCUUCUUCUGGAUAACCGCAUGAAAGUGUGGCUAAUACGGGAUAUUCUGGGUCUGUCGCAUGAUGGGUCUGGGAAAGAUAUUGUUUCGGUGGGGGAUGGGCUCGCGGCCUAUCAGCUUGUUGGUGGGGUGAUGGCCUACCAAGGCGGUGACGGGUAGCCGGCCUGAGAGGGUGGACGGUCACACUGGGACUGAGACACGGCCCAGACUCCUACGGGAGGCAGCAGGGGGGAAUAUUGCACAAUGGGCGCAAGCCUGGUGCAGCGACGCCGCGUGAGGGAUGGAGGCCUUCGGGUUGUGAACCUCUUUCGCCAGUGAAGCAGGCCUGCCUCGUUUGUGGGUGGGUUGACGGUAGCUGGAUAAGAAGCGCCGGCUAACUACGUG